rnacentral:rRNA from 4 species
GACCGCGACCCCAGGUCAGGCGGG